UGGGGCCGCAGGGCAGAGGCCUUUUGUGCCAGGUCUAAGGACAGCACUGGGCUUUUUCAUUCCGGACACAUGUUCCAGACAUUUCAUUUCAGACAUACAUACAGCAAGACUGGAUUUCCUAAGCUCUUUGGACCAUGAGAUUGAGUUAUGGCUAGUGAAUGUUGGCUACUUCUUGCCCUGACCCAUGAAAAUCUCCCACAGAAUUCUUUGUACUCUAUUUUUUCCCCAUUCACUGGAUAAAUGGAGAAGAUUCUAAAACCCUAGAGGAGAAUAGGAUCACAGAUGGAACAAGCUUCAGUCCCUGAAGCUUGGAGCAGAGCCUCCAUUCAACUUCCACCACCAAUUGGAUUUUACAAGAAAGACACACAAAGAAACACUGUGAAAAUCCUCUUGACUGAUGGAGAGAUGAGACAUCCUCCCCGCCAACCAGGAAGAUUCUAAUGGAGGACGACUCCUGGAAAGUCUGGCUCCAAACUGAGUCUCUCCAAGAGAGCCCCACAGCAAAUGCUUCCUCAGGAGACUUCCUCACUCCUGGACACCAGACCCUGUGCCAGUUAAUAAAUCUGAUUAAGACUUUAAUCUGCAGUGGUAUUUCCCUCUAAAAUCCCUCCUAACCUAAAGUAGAGCUACAGAUAACAGGAGGAAAUAGAAGGAAAUACUGCGAA
rnacentral:lncRNA from 1 species